AUGUAAAUUUUAUAAAUAUAUAUAUAUAUAUUUAGAGAGAGAGAGAGAGAGAGAGUUUGGUUUUUGAAGCAUAGUAACACCUGUACUGUCAAGUCAUUUUCAACGAUUGGACUUUCAAAUCAACAAUCGGCCUACUAAUUCAGGGACGUGUUUGAUUCACUUCUUUUUCACCCUAGAAUCGAAAUCAGAGUUGGCGAACUCGUUUGUAGGUGUUUGGUACGCGAGAGUUCCAUUCCGAUUUCGAUUUCCGAGUGAAAUUAAUGGGAAUCUCCUAAUCACCUCUUUUUUCAAUCCGGACUAAGAGGCCGGAUUGAAAGUUGAAUCCGAACGGAAUGAAUAUUUAUUCGGAUUAAAUUUAUU
rnacentral:lncRNA from 1 species